rnacentral:lncRNA from 1 species
AUGGGGACAGGGCGCGGAGCCGCUCAGCCGUGCAGUGUAGCCAUCCCCCGUGGCGUGGGUGUUGGCCCUGCUCCCUGGGUUCCCACACAGUUACUUGCAGAUUUCUUCUUGCAUUUGGACUCCACUCACCAUCACUCCGUGGAUAUUAUCUGGGUGCCUCCCCUGCAAGCUCAGAUCACCCAGGGAGACCAGUCCCCUUCCAUCUGUGAGGACAACAGUGUGGCGAGAUUCAGUUGCCCCCAGGCUUGCAUUAUGCCAGGUGGAACCCGGGCGGCUGCUGUGAUUCGGCUGCGUGAAACCCAUAUUCUGAGCGGACUAAGCAGACAGAGCCUACUCCGAGUUAUUGGUGUGCAAAGGGAAGAAAUCGUACCUUUCAUCCGCGUUCAGAGAGCAAUGAGGACUGGAACCGCCUGGGGUGAAAGGCCGGGUGGCUGUGGCAGACAGAGCCAGGCUCUGCAGAGCGUGACGCAUCAACAACCUUGUGCUCUGCUGACAGCCCAGUGAAGGCCCCUGAAGCCAGCUGGGCACUGGACUCUGCGGGCAUCCAGAACACCCUGAUGAUGAGAGUGCCCCGAGGCCGUCAGAAGUCUCUGCCUCCCCUGCUCUGCCCCCUGCGCCCCUGCUCAGGCCUCAGCAGGCUCCACCUACACCCGCGAGCUGCGCGUUCACGCCGUGGCUGGGGCGUUCCUCCCCGCCUCCCUCGUUGCCCGCAGUUGUUGAGGGAAGUUCUGGGUGCAGAGCUGCCUCUUGAGGCUCCUCCAGACAAUUGUCUCAGAACCUGUCAUUGCCUCCACACUCCUUGGGAAGCGGGGGCAUUGCAGCUGCGCUUUCCACCUUCCUGUUUGAAGCUGGAGACCCAAGCGGGCUGGAUGCCUCCUCAGCACGCAUGGUCUUCAAGCUGGGACUGAGGUCGUGGUGCAUGCUUAGUUCCCUGGGGCUGCCCCAGCAAAGCACCACAGACCACGUGGCUUAAACAGCAGCCAUUUGUUGUUACACGGCUCUGGGAACCAGAGGUCCGAGAUGGAGGUGUGGGCCGCGCUGGCUCCCUCCGAAGGCACAGGGAACAGUGUGUUCCUCUUCCCGUCUGUGGCAACGGCAGGUGUUCUCCGGCCUGCAGCUGCACCCCUGCAUCCUCUGUCUCCCUGUGGCUUUCUCUCUGUGUCUCUUUGUGCCCUCUGCCUCCAGGUGUGCCCAUCCAAGUUUCCCCCUUCUGGAAGGACCCUGAUGACUUCAUCUUAAAUUAGAUCAUUCUGCAAAGACUCUAUCUCCAAAUAACAGCACAUUCAUUGACGUUGGAGGUUAGCACUCGGGCAGAUCUUCUUGUGGGGGAGGACAUGAUUUAACCCAUAACAGAGCGAAGAACAUAAGAUCCCAGAGAAAUAUGGCGCAGGAUGGACCAACUCCCAGCCUGUGGAUCCAGCACAGGCACGCCAGCACCGACAGCCGAUGCUUCUCCCAGCUCGACUUCCUUCCCACUGCCAGAGCGCCAAGGGCACGCUAGGUUGCAUCUGAAUUUG